rnacentral:rRNA from 1 species
CCCUUAGAUGUUCUGGGCCGCACGCGCGCUACACUGACGAAUUCAACGGGCUUAUAACCUUGGCCGAAAGGUCUAGGUAAUCUCCAAAAUUCGUCGUGAUGGGGAUAGAUUAUUGCAAUUAUUAAUCUUCAACGAGGAAUGCCUAGUAAGCGCAAGUCAUCAGCUUGCGUUGAUUACGUCCCUGCCCUUUGUACACACCGCCCGUCGCUCCUACCGAUUGAAUGGUCCGGUGAAGCGUUUGGACUAUGGUUUUCUGACGGUUCGCCAUUGGAUUACCGUGGAAAUUCGUUAAACCUUNUNAUUUAGNGGAAGGAGAANUCGUANCA